rnacentral:rRNA from 1 species
AAUGAACGCUGGCGGCAGGCCUAACACAUGCAAGUCGAACGGGUCCUUCGGGACUAGUGGCGGACGGGUGAGUAACGCGUGGGAACAUACCCAAAGGUACGGAAUAGCCUCGGGAAACUGAGAGUAAUACCGUAUGUGCCCUUCGGGGAAAGAUUUAUCGCCUUUGGAUUGGCCCGCGUUGGAUUAGGUAGUUGGUGGGGUAAUGGCCUACCAAGCCGACGAUCCAUAGCUGGUUUGAGAGGAUGAUCAGCCACACUGGGACUGAGACACGGCCCAGACUCCUACGGGAGGCAGCAGUGGGGAAUCUUAGACAAUGGGGGAAACCCUGAUCUAGCCAUGCCGCGUGAUCGAUGAAGGCCUUAGGGUUGUAAAGAUCUUUCAGAUG